UACGUAGGCAGCAAGCGUUGUUCGGAGUUACUGGGCGUAAAGGGUGCGUAGGCGGUCCUAUAAGUAUGGUGUGAAAUCUCCCGGCUUAACUGGGAGGGUGCGCUAUAGACUGUGGGACUAGAGUGUGGGAGAGGAAAGUGGAAUUCCUGGUGGUAGCGGUGAAAUGCGGUAGAUGAUCAGGAGGAACAGCCGGUCCGGUGAGUGAAACGGAC
rnacentral:rRNA from 1 species